rnacentral:rRNA from 1 species
GACGAACGCUGGCGGCGUGCUUAACACAUGCAAGUCGAACGGAAAGGCCCCCUUGUGGGGUACUCGAGUGGCGAACGGGUGAGUAACACGUGAGUAACCUACCCUUGACUUUGGGAUAACUUCAGGAAACUGGGGCUAAUACCGGAUAGGAGCUCCUGCUGCAUGGUGGGGGUUGGAAAGUUUCGGCGGCUGGGGAUGGACUCGCGGCUUAUCAGCUUGUUGGUGGGGUAGUGGCUCACCAAGGCCUUGACGGGUAGCCGGCCUGAGAGGGUGACCGGCCACAUUGGGACUGAGAUACGGCCCAGACUCCUACGGGAGGCAGCAGUGGGGAAUAUUGCACAAUGGGCGGAAGCCUGAUGCAGCAACGCCGCGUGCGGGAUGACGGCCUUCGGGUUGUAAACCGCUUUCGCCUGUGACGAAGCGUGAGUGACGGUAAUGGGUAAAGAAGCACCGGCUAACUACGUG